rnacentral:lncRNA from 10 species
UGGCACUGGCAGGAGCGUCUUUAAUUAUGAACAGUGUGGGCACCAGAAGUCACUUUUGUCACCAUCUGCUGGUUUUGGCAGGUUUCUUUACAGCAUCCUGUUUUUGAUCAGCAAGGUCAUUACCAGUGCUCAGAAAACAAGUUCUACUGAUCUCUCCACUUCAAAACUAGAAAAGAAGCAUGAAAAAGACUUCCUCACAGCCUGCAGAAGGAAUCAACCCUGUCAAUAUCUUUAUUUCAGACUUCUUGCCUCUUAAACUACGAAGUCUCACUCUGUCACCAGGUUAGAGUGUUGUGGUGCAAUCUCAGCUCACUGCAACCUCCAACUCCCUAGUUCAAGCGAUUAUUCUGCCUCAGCCUCCUGAGUAGCUGGGAUUAAAGGCAUGUGUCACCACACCUAGUUAAUUUUUUUUUUUUGUAUUUUUAGUAGAAACGAGGUUUCACCAUGUUGGCCAGGAUGGUCUCGAUCUCCUGACCUCGAGAUCUGCCCACCUUGGCCUCCCAAAGUUCUGGGAUUACAGGCAUGAGCCACCGCGCCCGGCCAAGAUGAAUCUUCAGUGAUGAGUACAAAGAAGUACAAUCAGGAGAAGGUUGGCAGAAGGCAGAAUAUUUGAAGCAGAGAAUAAGGUUUACAUAAAAGUCUGUGAAGAUGAUAGAGGAUUGCGUAGAGAUAGGAGCCCCCCCCCCAAAAAAAAGCAGUUUAGACUCUCAGAAUCAUGGGGUGUCAAUAGGUGGAGAAAAUCAAUGAAGUUAGAAAGGCAAUUGGAGGUCAUGCCCUGUUGCCUCAGAAGGGACCGAACUGCGUAUUUAAAACUAGAGAUUGUGAUAUUCAUGAUGAUGAUGGCAUCUUCAAGCAAAGCCUAAAUAAAGUCAUGUUCAGCAUUUUCUAAUGGAAGAGAUUCAUGUCAAGACUGCAGUGUCACUUACCUAGGAAGCUAAUUUAUCAUAAAAUUUUUAUUAUAAAUAAAUUAUAGAGGAAUGAUU